AGUGAACGCUGGCGGUAGGCCUAACACAUGCAAGUCGAACGGCAGCACAGUAAGAGCUUGCUCUUACGGGUGGCGAGUGGCGGACGGGUGAGGAAUACAUCGGCAUCUACUUUUUCGUGGGGGAUAACGUAGGGAAACUUACGCUAAUACCGCAUACGACCUACGGGUGAAAGCAGGGGAUCUUCGGACCUUGCGCGAUUGAAUGAGCCGAUGUCGGAUUAGCUAGUUGGCGGGGUAAAGGCCCACCAAGGCGACGAUCCGUAGCUGGUCUGAGAGGAUGAUCAGCCACACUGGAACUGAGACACGGUCCAGACUCCUACGGGAGGCAGCAGUGGGGAAUAUUGGACAAUGGGCGCAAGCCUGAUCCAGCCAUACCGCGUGGGUGAAGAAGGCCUUCGGGUUGUAAAGCCCUGUUGUUGGGAAAGAAAAGCAGCAGGUUAAUACCCCGCUGUUCUGACGGUACCCAAAGAAUAAGCACCGGCUAACUUCGUG
rnacentral:rRNA from 1 species